rnacentral:rRNA from 1 species
UACGAAGGGGGUUAGCGUUGCUCGGAAUUACUGGGCGUAAAGGGAGCGUAGGCGGACAUUUAAGUCAGGGGUGAAAUCCCGGAGCUCAACUCUGGAACUGCCUUUGAUACUGGAUGUCUUGAGUGUGAGAGAGGUAUGUGGAACUCCGAGUGUAGAGGUGAAAUUCGUAGAUAUUCGGAAGAACACCAGUGGCGAAGGCGACAUACUGGCUCAUUACUGACGCUGAGGCUCGAAAGCGUGGGGAGCAAACAGG